rnacentral:rRNA from 1 species
UGGGGAAUCUUGCACAAUGGGCGAAAGCCUGAUGCAGCCAUGCCGCGUGGAUGAUGAAGGCCCUAGGGUUGUAAAAUCCUUUCGCCAGGGAUGAUAAUGACAGUACCUGGUAAAGAAGCCCCGGCUAACUUCGUGCCAGCAGCCGCGGUAAUACGAAGGGGGCUAGCGUUGUUCGGAAUUACUGGGCGUAAAGCGCGCGUAGGCGGACUUUUUAGCCAGAUGUGAAAUCCCGGGGCUCAACCUCGGAACUGCAUUUGGAACUGGAAGUCUAGAGUUCAGGAGAGGUUCGUGGAAUGCCGAGUGUAGAGGUGAAAUUCGUAGAUAUUCGGUGGAACACCAGUGGCGAAGGCGACGAACUGGACUGAUACUGACGCUGAGGCGCGAAAGUGUGGGGAGCAAACAGGAUUAGAUACCCCCGUAGUCC